CGGAGAACAAAUCCCGAUGUACAGGAAGGAGGCAUCUUCUUUCUGUGAAACAUCCUUUAGGGGAUGGGGCGCGGAUGGACCUGCGGUGCAUUAGUUGGUUGGCGGGAUAAAGGCCCACCAAGACGAUGAUGCAUAGCCGGCCUGAGAGGGCGGACGGCCACAUUGGGACUGAGACACGGCCCAGACUCCUGCGGGAGGCAGCAGUAGGGAAUUUUCGUCAAUGGGCGCAAGCCUGAACGAGCGAUGCCGCGUGAGUGAAGAAGGCCUUCGGGUCGUAAAGCUCUGUUGCGGGGGAAAAAAGGCAGCAUCAGGAAAUGGGUGCUGACUGAUGGUGCCCCGCCAGAAAGUCACGGCUAACUACGUGCCAGCAGCCGCGGUAAUACGUAGGUGGCGAGCGUUAUCCGGAAUGAUUGGGCGUAAAGGGUGCGCAGGCGGUCCUGCAAGUCUGGAGUGAAACGCAUGAGCUCAACUCAUGCAUGGCUUUGGAAACUGGAGGACUGGAGAGCAGGAGAGGGCGGUGGAACUCCAUGUGUAGCGGUAAAAUGCGUAGAUAUAUGGAAGAACACCAGUGGCGAAGGCGGCCGCCUGGCCUGUUGCUGACGCUGAGGCACGAAAGCGUGGGGAGCAAAUAGGAUUAGAUACCCUAGUAGUCCACGCCGUA
rnacentral:rRNA from 1 species